CUUAUCAGAGGAACCAAGACUACAAGAUCAAAAGGGGGAAAAAAGAAAGCAAUAUUGAGAAUAGCGGGGCAAACCCCGCCCACUCCCACCGGCCCCUCAUGUCCAGCCCCCCAAGAGCCAGGCUAUGGGCAGCCACCCCCCCAGAAGGAGGAGGAGGAGAAGGCACACCCCCAUUCUCUCCUGUGCAGGUGCAGCUGGCAGUCCGCUUAGGACGCUAUGGGAUUCCUGAAGCUGCACCUGCAGGCCUCCGCCUCUCCGCUCCCCUCCCUCGGCUUCCAACCCACACAGAAACAGGGCUCAGAGAGGGGAAGUAAAGGAAGAGAAAGAGGGGGAAAGAAUUCCUCAAACCACAUGCAAAACUUCCAUGCAGCAACUCGGGACGGGGCCUCAGCAAGCCGGCACACACAAGGCGGAUUGCCGGGGGCCAGGAAGCCUCCCAGAGGCGAGUAGAGGGGUCCCCAGGCAGAGAGAGCCCUGCACCUCCCGGGAGGCCGGGGGGGACCCCAGCACUGCAG